rfam:Astyanax mexicanus chromosome 3, whole genome shotgun sequence.
GGCUCCGUAGCUCAGUGGAUAGAGCGCUGGUCUGCAAAACCAGAGGUUUGAGUUCGAUCUUCACUGGAGCCU